GACGAACGCUGGCGGCGUGCUUAACACAUGCAAGUCGAACGGAAAGGCCCUGCUUUUGUGGGGUGCUCGAGUGGCGAACGGGUGAGUAACACGUGAGUAACCUGCCCUUGACUUUGGGAUAACUUCAGGAAACUGGGGCUAAUACCGGAUAGGAGCUCCUGCUGCAUGGUGGGGGUUGGAAAGUUUCGGCGGUUGGGGAUGGACUCGCGGCUUAUCAGCUUGUUGGUGGGGUAGUGGCUUACCAAGGCUUUGACGGGUAGCCGGCCUGAGAGGGUGACCGGCCACAAUGGGACUGAGAUACGGCCCAGACUCCUACGGUAGGCAGCAGUGGGGAAUAUUGCACAAUGGGCGGAAGCCGGAUGCAGCAACGCCGCGUGCGGAAUGACGGCCUUCGGGUUGUAAACCGCUUUCGCCUGAGACGAAGCUUGAGUGACGGUAAUGGGUAAAGAAGCACCGGCUAACUACGUG
rnacentral:rRNA from 1 species